rnacentral:lncRNA from 1 species
CAUAUAUACUUUUAUGAGUAUUAGGCCCUUCGUACUCAUAAAUUGUUUUCGAUGAUCGGACUUCCGAAUCGACGAUCCACUCUAUUAAAUAUGAUCUAGAGUAUUUAAAACUUUUAAAAAAUAAAUUUCGUAAUUUUUUAAAAUCAUAAUAAAAUCCAUCAAGCGGAUAUAAAAUGAACGAUCGAAAUCGAACAACGUCCUAAAAAUGAAUGAUUGGAUCCUUCAAUUUAAGAUCGAAGUUAUUGAUCUUUUAUCUAGAUAGUGAAUAGAAUUUUUUAUUAAAAAUUCAACCGAUUCCGAUUCUUUUAAACUGUUAAACUAGCAAGUAUCUCAUACCGGCCGUUAAAAAAUUGUCAAUUUUGUGACCUUUUGAUCGUAAGGUAAAUGAUGUCGAAAAAUUAUGAAAUUUGAUUUCUAAAAGUUUUAAAUGCUCUAGAUAAUGUUUGACGGUAUGAAUCGUUGAUUCGAAAAGUCUAUCAUCGAAAACAACUUAUGAGUACGAGGGCGAUCGUACUCAUAGUAGUAUUUAAUCCAAUGAUUAGAAAUGAUGAAAAGAAUUGAUCUAAAGGCUAAAAAACUGGUAGCAACAAUGGAAUUUUGCUACUAAUAGUAGCCCAGUCCAACUCUCUCUCUCUCUCUCUCUCUCUCUCUCUCUCUNN